AGUGAACGCUGGCGGUAGGCCUAACACAUGCAAGUCGAACGGCAGCACAGUAAGAGCUUGCUCUUACGGGUGGCGAGUGGCGGACGGGUGAGGAAUACAUCGGAAUCUACUUUUUCGUGGGGGAUAACGUAGGGAAACUUACGCUAAUACCGCAUACGACCUACGGGUGAAAGCAGGGGAUCUUCGGACCUUGCGCGAUUGAAUGAGCCGAUGUCGGAUUAGCUAGUUGGCGGGGUAAAGGCCCACCAAGGCGACGAUCCGUAGCUGGUCUGAGAGGAUGAUCAGCGACACUGGAACUGAGACACGGUCCAGACUCCUACGGGAGGCAGCAGUGGGGAAUAUUGGACAAUGGGCACAAGCCUGAUCCAGCCAUACCGCGUGGGUGAAGAAGGCCUUCGGGUUGUAAAGCCCUUUUGUUGGGAAAGAAAAGCAGCAGGUUAAUACCCCGCUGUUCUGACGGUACCCAAAGAAUAAGCACCGGCUAACUUCGUG
rnacentral:rRNA from 1 species